GUUACUAGCCAUAAUACCAUUACAGUGCAAGUACUACCUCUACUACAUCUGUUGGACUGAACCCUAUCAUCUCUCUCAUCAUCAUCACUUUAUUUUACCUCUUCAAACACAAACAUCACAUCUGACUCCAUUACUACCGCCCUGUCUCAAUCACAAGUCCCAAAAAAUUCCAUGUCAAGAUCUUCAACUGCGCUACUUCCUGCCGCUGUCACAGCAACACAGAGCUCAUUCCUGCGUGCAGCUAAAUCCGUAGCUUUCUUUCCAGUGCCAGUUGUUGUGAAGUGCAACUGUUUGCAGUUAUGUGCUGACAACAAAGCACUACCUGCACAGUGCUGCUUCAGUUAAGCCCAUGUAGACCCGUGUUCGAUCCGGCAGCUCCUACAUCAGAAAAGCAGUAACAGCACAUUAUGAGUUCAACUAAUCGGGGAGGCGAAGAGAGUGGGAAAGGUCUGUGCUUGGACGAUGCCACACUGCCACCUGGAGAUGAUAUUGUACAUUACAGCUCCUCCAUACUCUUCUCUGAAAUUUGCCAGGAGGAGAUGAUGGGCAAUGUCACAUGAUGCAACUAAACCAUCAUUCCACAUGCCCAAGGUCAAGUACUGGCUUUACUGCUACAUGAAAGCUGUACAAUUCCACCUUUUCAGACCGGUCCGAACCUGCAAUUUAAUAGCACAGUCACACCCCUCCCACGAAUACAACAUCCUCCCUCCCUCGUUAAUGUUGCGUUCAACAUCACAAUAGCAACAUAAAUAUUGCCACAGCCGGACAUGACAGGACUGCAAGAAAAGUCUACACAAUAAAAUCCAACACUGGCAGAUGGGACACAAGAAACCACAACAGCGUCAGUGUCUGCCAGCGACACGACAGAAUCAUAACGUUACAGGACCAAAAACACCACACUAUACAUUACAAAUACAUCAUCAUCAUCAUCAUCAUCACUACGUAUCUGAACAGAAUCAAACACCACACUAUACAUUACAAAUACAUCAUCAUCAUCACUACGUAUCUGAACAGAAUCAAACACCACACGAGACAUAACAAAUACAACAUCGACAUCGCUCCGUAGAAAGAUCAAAUCAAACACCACAUGACGCCAGCCUACGUCCUUUCCAUGAAAGCUUCAGCAUAUCCUGAGCACCUAACAGCUGAAGCUUACUGUAAAUCCAGUGGAUCACUUUCAGAUCUCCUCUAAACUCAGGAACCGAGUUCCAGAGAACUUUGGGAAUACAAAAACUGUAGAUGUUUUGUUUGAAGUUUUGAAAUGUGAAAAUUUAGCUUAUUUAACAUAUUUCUAAUGAAUUUAGUUUUCUAUGUAUGUUUAUAUUUAAUGCGCUUGAUCACAAAUAUUUAAAUGUUUUAUUUAACAUACUUAUUUAACUCACACUUCUUGCAUCGUUUAUCUUGUUAAUAUUUCCCUGAUUUGUAGUAAUUCUCAUGAAUGUAUAGUUUCACAAUUAGAUUUCUGAUUUAUAAAUGUUACAUUAUUAAUAAAAUCAAUGUAUUAUUAUUAUUAAUUGAAGAAUUGUUUCACUA